UCUCCUAAGCACACCUUGCUUUGCACAACUUCUUGAGUUAUGUCCCAUCAAUUCACAUCUUCCACAUUGAGUGUCAUUAUAGGUUUUCUUCAUGCCACUCCCACCAAUAGGUUCUUCAUUGCCAUCCUUUCUCCUAUUCUUCUUAGGUCUUCCUGCUGACCUUUUCACCUUUGGUGGCACAGGUUUUUCAUAAGGUGUUGGUUCCCAGUAAAUUUGAGAAUUCACAGGUUGAAUAAAGUAGCUAUAAGUUGCCCUAUAUGAACCAAGGGUCAACCAAUCAUGACAAUGAUCUUCUGACUUGAAU
rnacentral:lncRNA from 1 species